UAUACAACAUUUUUUUGUUAAACGAUUAAUAAAUAUAUUGGAAACUAGAAUCUAUUCCAAUAUGUAUUACAAGAAAAAAAAACUUUUUUGAACAAGUGCCAUGACUAGUAUUGACAUAAGAUCGAUAACAUCUCGGGGAUUUUGAAAAUAAAUUAGUUCAUUAUUUUGAUAUUGUUUAUAUUUUUCAUUUUAUGAGUAAUAAAAAAAGUGAUACAAAAAAAUAAUGAAUAUAGAACACUGAUAUCGGUAUAAACAUUUGGUAUAUUCAAAGAGAAGUUAAUUAAAUUAGUGUAACCAAACGAUCGGCUAUAUCAACGUAAGGGGAACGAUUAAAAUAAAACUAAUGUUUUCCCGACUUUGUACAGGAGUUGUUUUUGAAGAUACGUCAUACACUACUGUCUAUACAUACCCAAUAUAUUUUUUUUUAUCUUAACCUCAACAAAAAUGAAAUAAGGGUUGCCAUGACAAAAUGAACAGAAACGAUAUCUAAAAUAAGGAGCUAUGGAAAUAAGCCGUUGUAAUUCUAUAGAAAUAUGUAUUUAGUUUACUAGUAAUUUAGUUCAUCGAUAAGAAAAACAAAUCAAGUACCAAUACGAAGAAUAUCUAGAUUACUUCAAUUGAUAACCUUUUGGAAUAAGUCAAUUCGAAAGAUCGUGAGUUUACGUGGAUAGUACCUACAUGUACGGGAUUUUAAAAGAAUAACAUAAUUUUAAUAAGUUGACGUGAUAUCCCGAUAUAGUCUUAAGUUAUCUACAGUAACAACCAAAGUUUUGCUGGUUAUACUGAGUAUUGUACAGGUACCACUCCAAACUUCCAAACUAAAUCAAAGUAGAUAUAGAAAGAUGUGGUAUGAGUGCCAAUGAGACAAUCCCUCCAUCCAAGUAACAAUUUAUAAAAGCAAACCAUUAAAGGUCAAGGUACGGCAUCAAACACGGAGCCAGCAAGCUAAAAAGGGCACCAAAAAUUACUAGUGUAAAACAAUUAAAACGGGAAAACCAACGGUCCAAUCUAUAUAAAAGUAUCAUUCAGAAUCAACCAAAUGUCUUAAGCAAUGAAAUUAUUGAAAACGAUUUUUCUGCAUGAGAUGCACAUUUCGACAAUAAAUGUCUCUUCAGUGAUACGCGAAUUUGAGAUUUAGAAGGUGCGUUUUCAAGAACCUUUAUUGUUAAUCGGUCAUAUAUAGACACAAGUUCAUUGUCGAAAAAAGUUACAGAAAAGGAAAAAAAUAAAUACUGUUGAAAUAUCUAGAUAUUUUAAAUAUUAUUUCAUAAAUUUUUCAAACAGAAGAUAAGAUUUUCAACUUAGAUGAAAGUGUGUAAGGAACGUCAUGAAACUAGUGCAAUAAAUUAUUGGAUGCUACUAAGAAACAUAUUUGAAAUAUUGAAAUACCUUUUAAUCGAUAAAAGAAAUGUUUAAGAAAUCACUAUUAUUUGGACUGUUAGAUAUCUUAUUCAGGACGGAACAUGAUGACAUUUUACAGAUAGUUUUCAGAAUUAAUCACAGAUCGCAAAUAUCUUACAAUUGAUUAAGAAAUUAAAAAUCUGAUAUGCCUAAAGACAGAUCAUAAGGAAUAACAACAAACUGAAUAUAUCUUUGUAAACAGUAAAUAAUAAAAUUG
rnacentral:lncRNA from 1 species